AAAAAAAAAACAAAAAACUAGACAUUAGCUUCUCUUCUUUUUUUUUUGCUUAAAAAAAAAGAAAAGGGUGGAGGAAGGGACAAGCCCAACCCCCGCGUAAUAGCCCCCAUUGGUCCCUAUCCCGCCAGGAGAAUAUUCGAUGCGGGCAGAAAUGAUCAUGUGUUGGGCACCCCGGCCGGUUUUACUCAUACCCUUUCCACUCGUGGGCCCGGCUCGAUUAUCUUUUUGGGCUCCGGCACGAAACCACAUGUGAGUACGUCACACCUGACACCACCAAGGCUAUCAGCAGAGCAUACGCCCUUUCAAGGGCCGUGUUCGAGCAAGGAGCAUCCGGUCUCCACAAUUUAAUCGACGUCCGUGCAUUUCGAACUUGGAACCACUUGAUUGGAAGUAAGGUCACGCUCCCACUGGGCUACCACCUUAUUGGUAUUAGCUUCUUAUUUUUUUCUUUGUUUUUUUCCAAAGUACUUAGUAUAUCUAAAUAUCUCAGAACCCAAUCGUGCAAUCUUUUCGUAGACACAUGGGUCCUGAUUGUUUAAAGAUAAUGACCACUGUAAGAUCAUAAUAAUGGAUGAUAUAGCACUUUAGAAAGCCUCUUUUUAUAUGUAACAUACAAAGGGAUAAUGAAUACUCAAAUGAUGAACAUUAUUUAAUUUAUUAUGCUCUAUUAGCCAUUAUACAAUGGGAGUGAUGGUGUUCUUUUUUUCACUAUAUAUAAAAUAAUUAAUUAAUUUUAAGAAAAAUUGAUUCAGAAAGUCGAGCAAAGUUUUUGAAAUUUAUAUUCGAUAUAAUUACAAUUGAUCCAAAUAAUCAAACAACAACUAGAAAUAGAUCUAUUGGAAUAAACCAGUAAAAAGGUUCUAGAUGGUCAUAUAAAUUGGAGAAUAGGAGGAAGAAAAUGAGAAAAAAUCGAUGGAAGAUCAUGAAAUUCGUUCAAAAAAAGCCAAACAUGUGGUAAUUUAUACUGAUAAUGAGAAUAAUACAAAUUCUAUUACAUAGAGGGAGAGAGAAGCGGUAAUCAAAAUAAUAUAUAUAAUGUUUGAAUAGUGGUUUUCCCAAAAUAAAGCCAUUAUUUUGCUACUUUUUUAUUCACUAACAGCAAUUGUUGUUAUUAAUUAUUACCUUAUUUUAAACUACCUAGUCAAAAAGAGGAAUUAGGCAAAUAAGGUGGUAUCUCCAUUAAAAGUAUUUGUAUAUCUAUUAUACCAUGAAACCAAAACUCCACGUAUUAUCGCCAUCUAUUUAUUGGUUUACAUGUUUCCACAUUGCUACAAUUACUUCUAUAUUAAAUAAGUUUACCUCCAAAAAUUAGAAGCAUAUAUAUUGAAUUAUAUAAAUAAAAAAUUAAUAUAUUAGUCUCUUAUGUGCAUCGCAACUGCUAAGAAUGUCAUGAAAAUAAUCACAUACAUAGCAUGGGCUAAGAUCAAGUGUAUGUGGUACUAAAAAUGUGGCAUUUGGGUGUUAGAACAAGAGGCCAAUCCUCUUAAAAUGUUUUUUUUUCUUCCCAAAAUUUACCUAACUCUUGUUUGGAAAAUGUUGUGGGUGGGCCUUGAGAAAACAAAAUCCUCCUUGAUUUAUGGGUUCUUGCACAUAUUAGAUGCGAGGGCUACUUAAAAAAGAGUCAUGAAAUACUUAUCCAUUGUUCCAUUUAAUCCACUUGACGUGUUGACAUGAAAGCCAACUUGGUUCUGCCAAAUCAUCAAAUAUGAAAGGGGCUCUUAAAUCACAUAGUCCCACUUCAUUGAUGAACAAUUAAUGCAAAACGCCAAAGCAACUAUCAUGUAAACGGACAAUAGAGCGUGAGAAAAACUUUGAAAACCAAUUCAAUCAUAAUAAAAUUGCAAGUACAUAUCCAUAUUAGCUCAUGCUGCCUGAAGCAAACCACAACAUCUCGAUUGUGUUCUUUUGAGAAAUCAAUAAGAUACAUUAUUCUUUCCAAAAUUAUCACUUUAUGAUUGUUGAAAAAAAUUAGUUGGAAGAUAUUAUUUGAAUUUUUUGAUCCUAUAUAAAUAUUCAAAAUUUACAUAGCACAUAACACAUAGUCGAUGUGGACUAAAAAUAUGUCUGCACGGAUUCUUAUAUAUUCUUUGCGUUUAAGCUUUAGAGUCCUCAUCAAACUAAGGAUUGAAAGUCAUUUAAAUCUAAUCAUAAGCAACAUAGUCGACUUUUGGCCAAUCCCAAUAUAUUUAUACUGUAGUGUUCUCUAGUCCACAUAGAUAUAAGAUAGAUUCGUUUAAUACUAUUGUCACACCCCAAGAUCUUAUCUAAAAAAAACUAGUCGAAAGGUAUUAUUUAUGCUCUUCGGUUCUGCACAAGUACUUAAGAUUCAUCCAGUGCAUUACCGAUAUAAGAUUAAAUAUAUAUAUAUAUAUAUAUAUAUAUCUAUAUCUAUACGAAACCUCAUAAUAUUAAAAUAUCAAAUUUGAAAAUUAUAGAUAUUAUUUCUCAAAAAAUGAGGCUUUUCACUUCUCACUUCAUUAGCCAAAAAAAAAAAAAAAAUCUUGUAGUCUUUAGCACUUCCUUCAUCAAAAGCAAUGUAAAACCUAAAUCCAAGCAAUAACCUUCCGAAGAGAGAGCAAGGGUCCCAUCACACCUGCUCAAUAGUGCACAUGUCGCCAUCAUGUUUGGUGCUCGUCUGCGGUAUACUGUUCAGCACUAUCUUCUUUAUAAUUACUUUCCUACUAUUAUUACUAUUAUUACUAUUAUUAUUAUUAUUAUUAUUAUUAUUAUUAUUAUUUUUAGUCAAUUAAUUAAAAUUUUAUAUAUAAUAGGCUAUUUUCUUUGCCAAACAUAGCCGUUCGAGUAUUACUAUAUAUAAUUAGCAAAACUUAAUUCUUAUGUUUGCUGUUGAUCAUGAUUGGCAAACUUGAUACUCAACCUUGCUUCCUAAACUUUAGAGGAUUCAAUAAAUAUCGAAGUUGGUCACGUCGACCUAAGAUUUUUAUGCAAAAAAAUUAGCUAUGUUUACGGUUAAAUCUUAUAGGAAAUGCUAUCUAAGACUCCAAUCUUGAUCUUAUAAUUUUCUAUGAUUUGAAAACUUGAUGCUCGUGUUAUCUAAUAUAGCAGCUUCAUACCUAUAAUUUUUUCUUUUUCUCUUAAUUUGUCCCGAAACUCUCCUCCAAUAUAAUCUUAGAGAGCCAAUCUUUGACUUGUGGAGUUCUUGAUUUUUCAUUAACAUUUAGGCGACCAACCACUUGCUAACUAACGUAAACUUCAUUGGAAGGAAUAAAAUUAUAAAUAAUAAAUUAAAUAAAAACACAGACGCAAGUGGCUUAGCACUACACGCUAGAGACCUAAGUGGGGUGUUAAAUGUUGCACUCAAAAUCGUUUGUGCACGGAAGCUGAGCCAUCCAGUUGACAGCUGACCCUUCUAUUUUUUUUUUUUUCCUUUUUGGUACAGUAGCUCAAACAAGGGAUAUGCGAAUACGGCUAAUAAAAUCAGAAAAUAAAAUACUAUAUAAAAAAUCUGACAUCGGUCCAUAGUCUGCCUAGACGAAGCCUCUAGAAUAGUAAGCCGUAAAGAAAGCUACCCAGUCUACUGCAUUGUUCAUCUUUCGAUAUACGUGCAUAGCCUAAUGGAAUGUGCACUCUCUCAAUAAUUUACAAAUAUCGUGUAGCAGCCGUCGAUCCUUGACUAAAGCGGUCUUGAUUCCGGAUUUACUCGAUCACCGUGGCCGAGUCUCUCUCGAGGAGUCUCGGUCUGCGUCCAGUAUCCACCUUGCAAAGGAGAUACCUUUUCAGACAGCUCGAAGCUCGAUGCACACUACUGACGAGUCGAAGAUCUACCGCCCGUAUGCCGCUACGGAUCUUUUCUCCAUUUCUUUUUUUUUAAUUACCAUUUGGAGAGAUACCUUGGGCCACACGUCCAUCAAGCCGAUGGCUUGUAAGCAAACUCCUUACAACCUGUCCGGAUUCCAAAACCACCAGCACUAACGGACCCGUUAAUUAACCCCAGUCCAAGCGAAAGAUUAGCUGGCAAACUGUACGUUUCAUGCAAGCGACCCCGCCACCGCCGUUUGUCGGAAGAGACCCCUAACGGCCGUUCACCCUUACUCGGCGCCCCCGGUCAUCCUGCGCCUAAGUCACCGCCCCCGCACUUAUUACCCGACCCCACCUUGCACUCUGCCAAGCCCAACACACAACAACCGAGCAAGGUCUCCAUGCCAUAUGGCAUGCAGUAAUUGGUUGAAUUCUAGUAAGGAGCAAAUGGGAACAUGACGCGUUGCAGGUGUGGCGCUUUGGUAUCCUUAGUUGGGCUCCGAAGGAAAGGAGCCACGAGAUUCAAGUGGCUCACCAACCCGCGUCGUGGUAGGAAUCUGGCUUUCGUCUCAUAAAAAAAAAAAAUCGGAUAAGGUGACAACGCCCACGUGGAUUGCUACGUCACCGAUAAAAUCUUAACAAAAGCUUACAACAUCAUGAGUCCAAUACCACCUUCUGAUCAGCAUCAAACGGCCCGGACGCUUCCGUACGCAACUGAAGCUAUGGACUCGGUGGUCCACCGAUCGCAGCCGACCAAUAUGGAGAUCUCAUCGUGAAUGCCACCCUAGCGAUCGCACAACGUUCGCUGGACUUGUCCAUCAAAUCGUAGAAAAGAACGUUCAAAUCAUAGCCGCUGGGGUCCAUCGAUUGCGUGGUCCAGAUCGACAUUUGGUGGCGGAGGCAUGUGAAUCCAUAAAUCCAGCAGCUCCAACGUGGUCCUCAGGACCCCAUGCGGACAGUUGCAUAAUUCUACCUAUAAUCUUUUCCUUUAUAUAUUAUAUAUAUGUAUAUAUUUUUUAUAAAAAAAUCUUGCUUUAGAUACGAAUAAAAAUAAUAAGUUAAUUUAGAAAAGCGUUAGAAUCCGUUAAAGAUUUUUCUUUAAAUCUUUCGGCCGGCGAAGAGCCAACGCAACUUCUCUCUCUAUUUAGCGGCGGUUGGAGGACUCCGGGUGGUACUGUUCGUGUGCUUGCUUGGUUUGGUGGAGUCGGAGCGAGCUCUAGCUGUCGGUGUUUGGUUUAGUUGGUGGUGUUAAAGGAGGAGGGAUGGCGAAAGAGGAGUCGAAGAAGGUGGCGGUAGAGGGCUCGUCAGUGACCGCUCCGCCGCCGGAACCCACCAAGGACGUUGCUGAGGAGAAGGUGGUGAUCCCGCCGCCGUCGGAGGAGAAGCCUGACGAUUCCAAGGCUCUGGCCGUCGUCGAGAGUAUGACUUCUCCUCUCUGUGUGUGCGCGCGCGCGCGUUUGCAUGUGGUUUUUGAGUGAAGCUUUAGUUUUGGAAAAUUCUGUGAAUUUUGGUGAAAUUUCUACUUUUUUUUUUGUUGUUGUUGUGUUAGAGAAACGUUGUUUUAAAUUAUUCGUCGGGUGACAGUCUGAAGAAGCUGUUUGCUCCGCUUUCUGAUAAUUUGUCCUUUUUUUUUUCAUGGGGAUAAUGUUAGUUGAGGCCUGGAAUUAAAUUUUCUUUUUUCCUUUCUGCUUUACUCGAAAAUUUGCUCUCUUUUUUUCUUUAAAAGGUAUUCUUUUAUAUAAUUGGGUAAAAGACUCUUAUUCAAGAACUUAUGAAUUGAUUAAACUCUUAACCAUAAUCUGAGUAGAUCUUUCUAUUUUCCUUCCAAAAAAGAUGAAUAGAAUUUUCCAUAUCAGAAGGCCUUCAUUCAGAGGAUAAUUUUGGCAUUAUUAUGUCGCUUGAUUGUAUUCUUUAGAUAUUAAAUGUUGCUGAGGAUUAUUUCCCCCCUUCUUCCCUACCACUGGUAGGUUCUGGUACACUUUCAUGCCUGACUUGAGUAACUCCUUUAGAACAUUAGGUGCGGCUUCGCUGUUUCCUUUGUUAUUUUUAUUAUCUUAAAUUCCUGGUGAUGUUUUAGUGGGAGUUAGAUCUGGAUUCUUUCUGCAAAGCUUGUUUCUAAAUUCACCAUUUUCUGUGUAGAAUCUGGAUAAUUUGAUGCGUGAUAUGUGUAUUGCUACACGAUUUCUUUAGAAUUUCUUUCGGAUCUGUAAAUUGAUAUGAAAAUCGAUUGUUAGUUUUGUCCUGUUUCAAUUUAGUGAUAUUCUGUGAGCUGAGGGAUUUGUUCUUCUGUCAGAUUUCAGUUUUUAAUUUAAGUAAGAAGAGUUUCUUUCUUGUAAUUUCUUUGGUAGUCAAAGGAAACUUCUUGCUUUUACUUUUACGGAUGAAAGAAUCAUAUUGUCUCCUUUUCAUUACAUAUGAUUGUAUAUGGUAUAUUUUGAGGGAUAGUGCAAACUAUUAUGAUUGUGUUUGCUUUAUAGAUUUAUAGUUUGUUCAGAGCCUUCUGCUUUUUGCAUGAGAAGUUCCUUUUUGACGAAACUGUGCAUAUGAUCAACAAGGAUAUUUUACUUUGUUUAUUAGUUUAUUUAGUCCCCGAUCUAAAGGUUGUGAUACGCUCAUCGAUCAUUAUGUUGGAAGAUGUUAAUUCAUCCACCUCUGAGAUGAGUCUAAUUAAAUAAAAUCUCUGAACAAGACUUCUAUUUGAUAUUCUUUCUUAGCUAUUUCCAUGGGCAUAUGAAGAGAAUUCUCUGCAUGAGAGUCAACACAGACUUUGCACAGCAUAACUGAAGUCCAUAAUAGAGUGGUAUAUCAUGAAAAGCAAUUAAGAGUCCAGGUUUAAAAUUGCAAUCUAUAUUUCGAGGCCUAUUACGGUAGUUUUUAUUCUUGAACCAUUCAUUUAAGAAAAAGUGGUCAAUGGAUUUCACUUUUUAUACUAUUUACUUUAUAAUUUUUGGAUAUGAAAAUGUGGGAAGAAUCAGCUUUAGGUGAUAAAGGAAAUGGACCGUUAUAUUUUGUGAAGAAAGAUGGGCAAGCUGCCUCGGUCUUGGGUCCAAUAGUUGGAACACCUUUCCUUAGCACAUGCACUAAGGGGAGGUCCCUGGUUCAAACCCAGGUUUGUUUUCCACCUACUCUGUGUGUGUGUGUGUGUGUGUGUGUGUGAGAGAGAGAGAGAGAGAGAGAGAGAGAUAGAAUUUUACAAUAGAAUAGUAACUAAUUUCUNNNNNNNNNNNNNNNNNNNNUGUGUGUGUGUGUGUGUGUGUGUGUGUGAGAGAGAGAGAGAGAGAGAGAGAGAGAUGAAUUUUUACCAAUGAAUAGUAUAAAUUUCUAGUUUUACCAUUUAAUGUAUGUGGUUUUGUGUCUACAAAUAUUGUCCUUGCAUGUCUGUAUGUGUACUCAUUCUUUCUGCAUAUGAUCUGUCUUAAUAUAAUUGUAGGGUGAUGGGUUACUUAUGUACCAGUUGAUCAUUUCCCUGAAGAUGCCUUUAAUCAGCAUAACUAUACGAGACUUCAGAAUAUUAGAUAUUUGAGAUCACCUAAUAUACAAUUAUCAAUGCGUCACUCUAUAAUACAUUUUAGCGACAUAACCCACUUCAAACUUGUAAGGAUCAUAUCUGUAAACUUUGAAUAAUUUUUCUUUGUAUAGAGGUUGCAGAUGUUUUGACAGAGAAAAGCACGGGGGGUUCGACUGAGAGAGGUAACUAUUUGAGAAAUGUUAAAUUGAAUUUCUAGUUUAUUUGUUGUGUAUUAUAUACAUAAAAAAGAACAGGAAAUACAUCUAAUUUGGCACUUUCAGAUGCUCAACUUGCAAGGGUUGAAACAGAGAAGAGAAUGUCUUUAAUAAGGGCAUGGGAGGAAAAUGAAAAGGCUAAAGCUGAAAAUAAGUAAGUUAUUAAUAUUUUACCUUUCAAGUGGUUAUAAAAUAUUCUCCAUUGACUUGUUCAGCAUCGAACAACAGAUGCCUCUUUCAUUGGAAAUCUAGAUAACCAAAAGGUGUAACAUAUAUGCGAUGCUUCUUGUAAGUCUUUAUAAAAUAGCUAUACUAUAGCUUCAUUAACUUCUUACGAAUUAAAUCAAUAGAUAAAAGGCUACACUAUAGCUACACUUUAGCCUUUCCAAAUAGCAUUAUGAAAUAUUGACAAAGUUGCUAUUAGCAGGAAUGCAGAAUGUCUUGGUUAUGAUUUAUGCCAGUUUGUCAUAUUAGGUUAGCUACUGUGCUAUGCUGGUUUUGGAUGAAAUUGAGAGUAAGCAUCCCAUUCCAAAAAGUUAACAGGCUGGCCAGGCCAGACCUUGACCUCCAACUAAAAUAGUUCCAUCCUGUUUUAAAAAUGCUCUGUACUCUUUUCUCUCCCCCACUAAAUGCUAGUGAGUCCCACCUCUCUCCACCAACCCAUCCCAUUCCUUACUACAGUUGCCCUUCCUGUAAGUUAGUCCUCUCUGUUGUGUCAGGGACAACGUCUACUGCCAGCUUCAAGGAGAUGCAGUGCUUGAUGAUAUUUGAAAAUGACAUACUGCAGAUUAUUUUCAGAAAAGAAGGGUAUGCCAUGGGCCAAUGACAUGAACAUAGGUUUAGUUUUGUUGGUUGAUAUGGAAGAGUUUGAUUAGGGUGUUCCAUGCUUCUAGCAUGCUUUGCAACUAAUGGAAAAAACUGUAAAGACCAAUGAUGUUAAUUCAGAUAGUUUGGCAGUAUAUGGAAUGAGUAUCACAAAAAAGAGCUUGUUAACUUCUGUGUGUUCAAACUAGGAACUAGUGUGUAUGCAACAUUCAGGAAAAUGUAAACCAAUUGUGGAUGAAUUGGUGGAGAACUUUUGUGGAAGACCAGUGGAAAACUAUCAGUUUUUUUACUACUGUACUGCUUUUUGCUAAGCAAGUCUGUAAGAGCAUAGAAAGCAUGGCCUGCCGUACCAGUCCGUACCGGUCAGUACGGGCCGGUAUGUACCGGUCCGGCCUGGGACCGGUAUGGGAUCAACGUGAAUUAGCGUUGGAUCAGCGUGGAAUUCGAAAUCGGCACGGGACCGGUACGAGACCGGUAUAGGACCGGUACCAUACCGGUCCGGGCCACCAUCGGUACGCCAAUCGGUACCGGUACGGCGGAUCUUGAUAGAAAGGGUUAUGAUAUUUAAAAGUUAUCCACUUUCUCUACACUACAGAGUCGGUACAGACCUUUUGGAGAAAGAAAAGAAUUAACAUAUCCAUCAGAUUGGCUUGGGACAAUCAUUGUUUGCACAGCAAGAAAAAUUUAUGAAGAAACAACAAAUCGGCUUAGUCAUUUACUAUACAAACUUUGCGUAUUUUCAAAGAUCCAGCUUGCCUUGGCAAUUCUAAGAUUCAGCAAGCUCAUUCUAAGUUGUGGGCUUCAAUAUUAGUGAUCCUUCCUUAGGUAGUUUAUUCUUGCUUUGCCAUUUUCUCUUUUUUUUUCCAUUCCUUCUAUCUUCUCUUGUAAAUACUUUUUCUUCAAUAAAUUGGGUGGUUUUCAUUUCUCCCCUAUAAAAAAAAAAGGUAUAGUAACAAGAAGUUAAAGAUUCCUCACUGGGAGCAGGACUUAGAAGAUCAGUCUUGAAACAACUAUAGAGGAGGGACAACCUCAUGCCACCUUGAUGAACAAGGAUGUGAAAAUGUUUGUGCUGGUGGAUGAGGCCCUUAUAAAUUAGUGAAUAAAGAUUCAUAAAGCCAAUCCGGUUAUGGAAACUUGUAUAGUUAAUUAGGCUAAAGAAUUUUUUCUCAAAAAACCUCUACUUAUAUAAUGGGAAAGCCUGGACUCCAUCACACUUGUUAGACUCUGGGCCUUCCCGCUAAGAGUGCACAGCAUGCUGGACUCUUGGAUUUUCCAAGUGCCAUGGCUGCGAGUUCAGUGCAUACUAGGUUUCACAAGCCUCUCAAGCAGUUUGUUAAGCAAGAACCAGGAGAGGAGUUCAAGAUGAAGCCAUCAAUAGCACAAGGAGAAAAAAAUAUACUUACAUAUGAAAAAAAAAGAAAAUGUGCAUAUUUCUACUUGUUCCCGAGAGAGAUCCUAGCACUUGCUGCAUGCUAAUAGUGAUAAAAGAAAAUGAUCUUCUGGUGUUUAAUUUGUCUCGGAGCACAGGGAUAAAAAGUAUCAUACAAUAGAAGCCAGUUAUGGGAAUCUGUCUAGCCUAGUUAAUUAUGCUAAGGAUUUUUUCCUUAAAAAAUAGGGCUAAAAAAGUUAUCUUGUGCUGUUUAACAUGUUUCCAAGCACAGUGAUCAAUAAGUAUCAUACAAUAGGUUAGACAAUGUUAAGUAAUGAUUGAGAACCAUGCUUAGAGCCACUACAUGUAGAAUUAUCUUAGAUAUUUCGUCAGAUUUCUGGCUAAAAUUCACGAAGCACAUUAAAUUACAUCUCUUCUAUCACAUAUAAUGUGACAAAUGGUUAGAAACUGAUAUUUGCAGAACUGAAUUUCUUUAUUUGCUAAUCCAUAUGCCAUGAAAUUGAGAUAAUAUUUGUGGUUCGCCCACCAAGAUUCAUUCUUUCUUCAGUUAAUUGUCCAACACCUAGCUUUCCAACUGUCUCAAGACUAGGUUGAUGAAAAUUUUGUCAAGUUUGUAUGAUACUGGUGCAGGGUUUUUCUAGAACAGUGCAUUACCUCUUCAUAUUGGUGGAUGAUUGUGGAAACAUCAAUUGUUGCCUUUACUAUUGAUCGUUAUUCAAAAUAUAUAUCAGGUUGGAAGUUAUAAUCUGGCUUCCUGACAAUGUCAAACAGGGCUGCUAAAAAGAUGUCGUCUAUUACUGCAUGGGAGAACUCAACUAAGGCAGCUAUGGAAGCUGAGCUGAAAGCAAAAGAGGUAACUGAUUUCUCAUUCAGUCUGUCCUACAAGAAAACUUUCAAGCCUUUGUAUUUCCAGUCCACCCAACUUAUAAAUAGUCGUAGUCACCAGAGAAAUUAACUGUGGCAGAAAAAACAACAAAACAGAUCAGCCAAAUAAAUUGACCCCAAGAAGGCAUUAAUUUUAGAAGUGAUGCCAAGUAGUUGAAUCAAUAUUUGUUUCUUUCUUGUUAAAAGAAAGCAUUAGUUGUAUUUCCAAAUCAUCUCUUAAUAUUUACUCCAUUUUGAAGAUGGAGUGGAUGAGAAACGAGAAACCCAGAGAACUGGAAACAAAGGAAUAAUACUGGGUGUUCUAACGUGUUUGUGGACAGUAUCAGAAACGGAUUUAAGUCAAAUAGAGUAAAGUCAAAAUGGCAGCUUUGCCAAAACAAGGUUGACACUUGGUUUAGAGAAAAAUCUUCAGCAUUUUGCAAGUGUUACUUCUAUACUGCUGAUCAGGAUAUGAUGUACCGUACCGAACCGAACAGUACUGGGCGUACCAAUUCAAUACCGAUACCAGUACAGGUGGCGUACUGACCCUCGGUACGCCAAAAAAAAAUUCGUACUGUACCAUAUCGAUGCUAUGCUAGUGUGGCACUGGUACGGAGUUCGGUACCGGUACGGCGAGCCUUACUUCAAAUCAUUCUUUUUUUUAGAAAGAAUACUUUAGAUCACUCUCCGAAAAAUGGCUGAUUAUUUUUGCUUGGAAAAUCUAUUAAAUGCCUUCAAAAAAUGUAAUUUUUAUGCAUCAAACGUUUCACAGGAAAAAGCUUGAAUCUCUGCAUGCCUAAAAUUAUCAUGCUUUUAAGUAGGAAUCCUUAUCAUUCAAUCUUGAAGCCAUUCCUAAGUCUCAAAAUGCAUGGGCCAAGCUGAAUACAUGGCUUCGGAUUUCUAUUUGGUUGUUCUGGUUCUCAAGGUCCCAUUGGUGUGCUCAAAAUUUAAGGGCAUCUUUUUUCAUGUUAACUUGGAGGGACAUGCCUCACUAUGACCUCGAAUGUAGACCAUGACUAAAUGGAAUUAUGAUUGCACCUCGUGUCCAUUCGUCCUUUGACUCAUGUUAUUGCUCAUCCAGUGUCGACUAAAUUCUGGUCUUAAACAUGAAUGUGAUAUUGGUGGACCUAGGUCUUGCUCCAAAAAUAUUGGACCUAGAUGCUUCAUUACUAUCAAAGAUUUUAAAUUGUCAUCAAGAAAUGACAUCCGAUGAAGAAGCCAAAAAAAAAAACUUGCUCCAGCGUGGUUUCUAGUAUGUUUCUUCCUAUGGUAAGAAAACAUAAUGGAUCUAAGAACUUAAAUUGGUCUGCAGCAUCUGCAUGGUGAUGUAACUUGUAUUACCUACUGCUGUAGAGAGCUUGCAUCCAAUACUUCUUUAAUAUGUGAACAGGAAGCAUUAGAAAAAAAGAAGGCAGAAUAUGCAGAAAAAAUGAAAAACAAGGUGGCCAUGCUUCACAAAGUAGCAGAAGAGAAGAAAGCUUUUGUUGAGGCCAAGCGGGGUGAGGAGAUCUUGAAGGCAGAGGAAAUGGCUGCAAAAUACCGUGCCACAGGGCUUGCUCCGAAGAAGCUCCUCGGGUGCUUUGGGGCCUAAGAUCUGACUAGAAAAGAGGGCAUUGAUGGUACAUUCUCUACUUUGUUUGUGGGUUAUGUUUUGAUUUAGUUAAAGCUUUAAUGGGAAAUCCCAGUUUGUCUGGUGUGUAAAGUGUCAUGUACUUGUAUAUAGUUGUAAUUUUACAAGAACAAAGAUUUGGUGUUGUACAAUUGUAUUCUUUUAGUUUGUGGGAAAAGAAGCAAAAAAAAAAAAACAAUUUGUGUGUAUUUAUACAACAUCAAAUUAUUUGCUAGCAUCGAAGCCCUUUAAUGUUCUUCCAGAAGGAAGUUGAAGCCCUUAGAUGUUCAUAUUGGAUAUAUUUAUACAAUAUGCAUUGAGAUGUACUGCGGACUGAUGAAGUAAAAAGAUGGCAAUUGGCAGAAAAACUGCUAUAGAAGUAGCAAGGAAGCAAGAUAAUCCGAUAGUUUUCAGUAGUUCUG
rnacentral:lncRNA from 1 species